CAGCAAACAAAACAUACACCAUUCUGUUCACAUGGAGUUCACAUUCUGGUGCAAGUAUAGGCAAAAAUAAGAAAUGACAAUGCAUCUUGGGCGUGAAAGGAGGGAACCCAUAGAACUACGGGAAACACAGAAGAUCAUGCACCCUCCUCUAGCCUGGGCAGUCAGGAAGACCCGGAGGAGGUGAUGUUUUAACUGAAGUGGGAAAGAUGAGCUGAAAUUACCCAGGUGGAGGUGGAAGUGAAGGUGCAUGUCCUGAAAAGAGAACAGUGUCAACAGUGACCUUGGGACAAGGAAAGGCUUGCAUAGAAUUUUGGCUUGGAAUUGGACUUCUCAAAGUUAUUGGCGGACACAACAUCUUUAUUUGUAUGUGGUGCUGAGGAUCAAACCCGGGCCGCAUGCAUGCCAGGCGAGCGCUACCGCUUGAGCCACAUCCCCAGCCCUCAAAGGCUGGCAAUGUGCACUAGGGGACCCUAGCCAUGGUGGGCAGCAGCAGUGAGUCACAGCUCCCCAUCAGCCACGGGGCUGUGAAGGUAACGAGCCAAUCCUGCAGGAGUAGUCUGUGUUGCUUCGCUCUGCUGUUCAGUAUAUCAGGUGUGAUACAUUUUUUACUUAAAAUAUUUUCAAAUCAUGAUGGGCUUGUCAGGAUGUAAUCCCAUAAAUCAAGGAGCAUGUGUAUUUGAGUGCUCUUUCAGCACCACUUUCCCUUCUUCCUUUGAGAAUUCCAAUAACACAAAUGCUGAUAUUUUGUUUUUGCCCCCAUAGUUCCCUGAGGCUCUAUCCCUUUUUCUUUUUCCUUUAGUUCCAAUUGGGUGAAUUCUGUUACUCCAUCCUUGAGUUCAUUAACUCUAUCCUCUGUCAUCUGCACUCUGUUAUUAAAGCUCAUUCAAUGAAUUUUUUAGUUCUGUUAGUUUUUUCUAUUGCUGCCAUAGACUUGUCGUAACAAGUCUGAACUUGUUAUCUUAAAACAACACAGACAGACUGUGUUACUCUUCCAUAGUUAAGAAUUCCAGCACAGGCUUCACAGGGCUAAUAUUAAACUGUCAGUAAUGCUACAUUCCCUCCUGAGAGCUCUGGGGGAGAAUCAGUUUCCUAACUGUUCAAGCUUCUAGAAGCUUCCCAUAGUCUUUGGCUCAUGGCCCCCUUCCUCCAUCUUCAAAGUCAACAAUGCUGUAUCUCUCUGAGCAUUCUUCCAUAGUCACUUCUCUCUCUGACGAAAGUUGAGAAAGAGUCUCUUCCUUUAAGGGCCUGUAUUAUUAGAUGGAUGAUGUGAAGAUACUCUAGGCCAAUCUCUUCAUCUCAAGGCCUUUUUUUCCAGCAAAGCAACAUAUUUACAGAGUCCAGGGAUUGGGAUGUAGACAUCUUUGAGGACCAUUAUUCUGCCCAACACAUAUCAUAUUUUUUAUUUCUAUAAUUUCCAUUUGAAAAUAUACUUUUUAUUAAUAUACUUUAUUUUUAAAGACAGUUUUAGGUUUAUAGAAAAACUGAGUGGCUAGUCCCGAGAGUUUCCCAUUCCAUCCUCACCCCCAUUUCCCCUAAUAUUAAUAUCUUACACCACAGUAACGCUUUUGUUACAGUUAAUGAGCCAACACCAAAUCAACCAGGUCCAUAGUUCACUCAUAUUUCCUUCAUCUGUUCCCCUCCUGGAUACAAGGGGGCUGCUCUACUCCAUGAGUGCACCCUGGGUAGAAAGAAGGCAGAAGAUGGAGAGGAGACUGAGCAGAAGACCAGCCAACCUGCCAUGUCUACUCUUUUUUUUUUUUUUUUUUUUCUCCUCUAGCAGGAAUACGAUGGCAUUCCAGAAGCCCCAGCCAGGGCACCUCUGCUUUUCUCUUAUUAACCUUUUACCCAACAACUUCUAGCAGCACAGGAGCCUGUGCAAGACUGAAGUGACCCAACAGUAGAGUCAUCUUGGGAUCCAUGUGCGAAACUGGCAGACUGGAAGGCAGACUGUGUCCCUGAGUGGGCAUGUGGAGCAGAGCACCCACCCACCCCUGCUGGAGCGUUCACCCUGGAAUGUUCCAUGGGAUAAACACACUCUCUGUUGUGAUCACGUGUUUGCGUGAUGGGCCUAUUUAUAAAAGUUGAUUAAUCCACCCUGA